CCCUGGUCAGCUCAGGUGGUAGAGCGCUUCACUGGAAGUGGAGAGGUCCCGGGUUCGAUACGCGGACCAGGCG
rfam:Ixodes scapularis strain Wikel colony gcontig_1108379411354, whole genome shotgun sequence.